rnacentral:rRNA from 1 species
UACAGAGGUGGCAAGCGUUGUUCGGAAUUACUGGGCGUAAAGGGCGCGUAGGCGGCCAUCUAAGUCGGACGUGAAAGCCCCAGGCUUAACCUGGGAACGGCGUCCGAUACUGGGCGGCUUGGAUUCGGGAGAGGGAUGUGGAAUUCCAGGGUGUAGCGGUGAAAUGCGUAGAUAUCGGGAGGAACAUCAGUGGCGAAGGCGACCACCUGGCCCAACACUGACGCUGAGGUGCGAAAGCGUGGGUAGCAAACAGG